rnacentral:rRNA from 1 species
UACGUAGGGUGCAAGCGUUGUCCGGAAUUAUUGGGCGUAAAGAGCUCGUAGGCGGUCUGUCGCGUCGGCUGUGAAAAUCCCGGAGCUCAACUCCGGGUCUGCAGUCGAUACGGGCAAACUGGAGUACUGCAGGGGAGACUGGAAUUCCUGGUGUAGCGGUGAAAUGCGCAGAUAUCUGGAGGAACACCGGUGGCGAAGGCGGCAUCCUGGACCGACACUGACGCUGAGGAGCGAAAGCCAGGGGAGCAAACGGG